rnacentral:lncRNA from 1 species
UUUUGAAUAAAUUAUUCUAUCAUAUAAAUUAAUUACUCAUCCAAGUCAAAGUAUAUCCAGCCAAAACUACUAAUCGACAAAUUGCAACUGUAAGAUAUGAAUAAUAUCACUCUCAACUGAAACUAUUCUUGCCCACUUGUUUUACAACAUCAACAUCUCAGCCAAUGAUCCUAGAAAGAAAUACGGGAGAAAGUACAUGCCAAGUCAAAGUAUAUCCAGCCAAAACUACUAAUCGACAAAUUACAACUGUAAGAUAUGAAUAAUAUCACUCUCAACUGAAACUAUUCUUGCCCACUUGUUUUACAACAUCAACAUCUCAGCCAAUGAUCCUAGAAAGAAAUACGGGAGAAAGUGCAUGCCAAUUCUCAGUUUCAUAUAUUCACUGCUCUCUCUAUAUAGAGAGAGAAAGAGAUACAUAGAGAGAGAGGUGACUCGAUUAAUGCUGAACCGAAAGGCAUGCCAAUUCUCAGUUUCAUAUCUUUCCUUCUGGAAGAAUUACUUUACAGGCUGUGAUGGUAGCUGCAAUUUCAUUCAAGAUUUACAGAGAAGUGCGAUUUACAUCACCUCGAAUCAUGCUUCUGGAUUUGAGAUUAAUAGAUUCAGCCUUCUCCAGAGCCAAAAACAUGUUGUUCCUUCCUGUUGGCAAGCAUUGAUCGGUCGAAUCCUGGGGCAAGCCAGUGUGGAGAAGAGCUGUCAAUUUGUCAUCUCACUAAAUAGGGCUCUGAAUCGUUUAUUUUGGCGGUAUUUACAGCCUUCUCACUAGACAAACUGCCCAUUGCUUUGAUACAAUCACCG